UACGUAGGGGGCAAGCGUUGUCCGGAUUUAUUGGGCGUAAAGAGCGUGUAGGCGGUUUGGUAGGUCCGCUGUGAAAACUCGAGGCUCAACCUCGAGACGCCGGUGGAAACCAUCAGGCUAGAGUCCGGAAGAGGAGAGUGGAAUUCCUGGUGUAGCAGUGAAAUGCGUAGAGAUCGGGAGGAACAUCAGUUGCGAAGGCGGCUCUCUGGACCAGCACUGACACUGAGGCACGAAAGCGUGGGGAGCAAACAGG
rnacentral:rRNA from 1 species